AAGAUGAGAAGGUGCCUGGACU
rnacentral:piRNA from 1 species